UCACCCCUCAAGCUCCCCCGGCUUGGUGUUGGACGGUUUAGCCUUGGUGACGAGGCCCGUUUUAAAGUCAAUGACGGCGGCCUGUUUGAAACCCCCGGUACACCGAGCUUCUUAACUGAGCACGUAUCGGUUGAAGGGUAGGCAGAACCCGGUCUUCUUCCUUAACCGGAAACUCUUUCUAA
rnacentral:misc_RNA from 1 species